rnacentral:rRNA from 1 species
CCUACGGGGGGCAGCAGUGAGGAAUAUUGGUCAAUGGGCGCUAGCCUGAACCAGCCAAGUCGCGUGAAGGAUGACUGCCCUAUGGGUUGUAAACUUCUUUUAUAUGGGCAUAAAGUGCAGCAUGUAUACUGCUUUGCAUGUACCUUAUGAAUAAGGAUCGGCUAACUCCGUGCCAGCAGCCGCGGUAAUACGGAGGAUCCGAGCGUUGUCCGGAUUUAUUGGGUUUAAAGGGAGCGUAGGCGGGUUGUUAAGUCAGUUGUGAAAGUUUGCGGCUCAACCGUGAAAUUGCAGUUGAUACUGGAAUCCUUGAGUACAGGAGAGGUAGGCGGAAUUCGGGGUGUAGCGGUGAAAUGCGUAGAUAUCACGAGGAACUCCGAUUGCGAAGGCAGCCUGCUGGACUGUAACUGACGCUGAGGCUCGAAAGCGUGGGUAGCAAACAGGAUUAGAUACCCUUGUAGUC